rnacentral:piRNA from 1 species
UGUGAAAUGUUUGGACAUGUCUAGAGAG